rnacentral:lncRNA from 10 species
UGCUAAUGACCCAGGGAUGGGGCUGGCUGUGCUAUAGACACGUUAGAGGUCAGCGCAAGUCUGUUUUCAGGGUUUCUCCAGUGGCUGCUGGGCUGACUCCAUUGUGGAGAGCUGACACUUGCGCUGCCCUAUAAUGCCCUGGACAAGGAUGGAUUCUUUAAGGAGACCCAGCUUUAAGGAGAGUAAGCCAUUUGAGCUCUAAAAAAGAGUUUUCAGAGUGAAACUAAAAUCUUGCCAGAAAGAACUAAUUUCCAGAUGCCUUGUUCUUCCUUCUUUCUCCUUCUCUCCCUUGCUGCCUUCCUUCUCUUCUUACUGUUAAUGUUUAUCUUAGUCGCCUCAAGCUGAUAUAAUAAAUAUGUCAGAGACUGGAUGGCUUAAACAGCAAAAUUUAUUUCUUGCAGUUCAGGAGUCUGGAAUUCCAAGAUCAAGGUGCCAGCAGAUUCGGUGUCUGGUGAGGGCCCACCACCUGGUUCACAGUUGGCCAUCUUCUCAUUGUAUCCUCACAUGGUGGAGGGCACAGAGAGGAGCAAACUCUCUCCUGCAUCUUCUUAUAAUGGCACUAAGCCCAUUCAUGAGGGACCUAUCCUCAUGACCUAAUCGCCUUCCAAAGGUUUCCUCUCCUAAGACCAUCCCACUGGGGAUUGGGCCUCAACAUAUGAAUUUUUGAGACACCCAAGCAUUCAAUUAAUGGUAGUACCCAAAUUCAAAACAUGUAUUGAGCAACCUGUGUACAAGAACUGGCAAUAAUAGUAAUAGGUACCAAUUAUGGAGAUUGCACUAUAGGUAAGAAUUAACUCUGUUUAUCUUUCUGUCAAUCCUAAAAAGUUGGGAUUCUUCUUUUCAGAUAGAAAAACUGUGGCAGAUGGAGAUAGGUUAACUAAUCUUUCUGAGUUGCAGGAGCAGGGUUCUGAUGCAGGUGAUCUGCAGCCUCCGCAGUGAGCUCUCCCAUUGCCAGAACAUAGUAGAACGCCAGUGUAGACAGAUGCCUGGGGAGUGGCCCCCACCCCCACAGAGCUCAAGGGAAGCUGGGAGUCUAACAUCACAAAAUCACUAAGCUUUACCACUCAGUGGGAAACCAGCCCCAAAUUAAUUAAAUUGAUAGUAUAGAAAAGAGGAUGGUGAUUAAUGCUUCUUAUUCUUUUAGUUUGAUGAAACACACAUAGGCAAAUCUAAUUAAUUCUCACCUCCAUAAUAGGGCCUGAGAUGACUCAGACAGUGAGGUGCAGAGUUAAUCUCGGAGGCUUCUUAUAGGAAAGCUGAGCAUGUAACCCUACCUAACAGAACUCCAUUUUCAAGUUUCAAGCCCCUUCCAGAAGGAAACACUAAUUUACUUAGAAAUCCUUGAUAUGCUAAUUACAAAUCAUACUCACCUACUCAUUAGAGUAACUCCCCCAGGAAUUUCCCCUUCCUUUAGCUCCAUACUAAUUACAGGUCUAUUCUUAAAGUACAGCAGAAUGGUAAAGAAUGAGCGUUCUGGUUUGGAAUCCAGACCCUUCCAUUCACUGACUGUAAUUUUGGACAAGUUACUUAACUUUUGUGAGUCUCAGGUUUUUUACCUGUAAAAUAGUGAUAACUAUAUCCUUCUCUGGUCUGCAGGUUGUGAAGAAGAAAUGACAGUCAAUUCCUCUGAUGGGGCCAGGACUUUCUGUUUUCUUACAUGGAACUGGGACUGAUGAAGAGAUUUAAGGAAGCAAGGAAGAUAAUAUUUCAACAAGGGGGGCAUGAGCUACAGUAUCACAUGUUGCCAAGGUGAAAUGCAAACUAUGUCUACUGGACUUGCAAGUUGUUCUCUACAAAGAGGUUCCAGCAGCCGGGCGCAGUGGCUCAAGCCUGUAAUCCCAGCACUUUGGGAGGCUGAGGUGGGUGAACCACCUGAGGUCAGGAAUUUGAGACCAGUCUGGCUGACAUGGCGAAACUCCGUCUCUACUAAAAAUACAAAAAUUAGCUGGGUAUGGUGGCGUGUGCCUGUAAUCCCAGCUACUCAGGAGGCUUAGGGAGGAGAAUCACUUGAACCUGGGAGGUGGCCUUUGCAGUGAGCCGGGAUUGUGCCACUGCACUCCAGCCUGGGCGACAAGAA